GACACUACACCGGGUGAACGGGCCACAUUGAUGUUGCGGAAUAGAAGGUUACUCUUUAGUGUUU
rnacentral:tRNA from 1 species